GGCUGGAUAGCUCAGUGGUAGAGUGUGUGCUCAGCAUGCACGAGGUCCUGGGUUCAUUCCCUAGUACUUCCA
rnacentral:tRNA from 1 species